GUCUGAGUUAAACAGUACUAGAACACUAAAUAGGUCGGCCAGAGACGAGUGCGAGCCAGACAGUACUAAUCAUAACCGUAAUGAGGAACAAGAAAGUGAAGAAGAAAAUGACUAUGAGGAGGGACCCUCAGAUUCGGAAGAGGAAAGCCCUGAUCAGGAUGAGGGUGGGACCUCGUGUCCCGUAUACAAGAAACUUAAACUCAAACACAUAAAGGAAUUACAUUCAGCUGUUAAAAAUUAUGGUAUGAAUGCCCCCUUUACCUUGGCUAUCCUAGAAGGACUUUCGGGGUCUGGGUAUUUGACCCCUAGUGAAUGGACCAAGGUAGUACAAUCUGUCCUCACUAGAGGACAAUAUUUGACUUGGAAAUCUGAAUUUAUUGAUAAAGCGGAGAGCCUUGCUGCUAGAAACAGAAACAAUCCCUUAA
rnacentral:lncRNA from 1 species